UUGGCAUUAGGGUUAAAAUCACUGUCCAAAACCUUUUUAGGAACACCUUUCAGACCUUUUGGAGUUUGUACACCAAAAAAAAAAUGUAAAAUGAAAAAAAAAUAUUUGGGGUGUUCGGGCUUCCUGAAGGUAAUACCCGGGUAUCAGGUUUUUGGGCUAGGGUAAGGUUUGAGGUUUUUGGCGUUAGGGUUAAAAUCAAUGUCCAAAACCUUUGGAGGAACUCUUUUCCAAGCUUUUGGAGUUAGUUAGACCAAAAAAACAUGAAAAAUAAAAAAAUAUAUAUUUGGGGUGUUCGGGCAUCCUGAAGGUAAUACCCGGGUAUUAGGUUUUGGGGCUAAGGUAAGGUUUAAGGUUUUUGGUGUGAGGGUUAAAAUCACUGUCCAAAGCCUUUGUAGGAACUCUUUUCCAACCUUUUGGAGUCAGUUACACCAAGAAAAAAAUUUAAAAUGAAAAAAAAAUAUUUGGGGUGUUCGGGCUUCCUGAAGGUAAUACCCUGGUAUUAGGUUAUGGGGCUAUGGUAAGGGUUAAGGUUUUUGGAUUAGGGUUAAAAUCACUGUCCAAAACCUUUUUAGGAACAUGUUUCAGACCUUUUGGAGUUGGUUAAACCAAAAAAAAAUGUAAAAUGAAAAAAAUAUAUUUGGGGUGUUCGGGCUUCCUGAAGGACCUAUUAGGUUAUGGGACUAUGGUAAGGUUUAAGGUUUUUGGCGUUAGGGUUAAAACCACUGUCCAAAACCUUUGUAGGAACUCUUUUCAUACCUUUUGGAGUUAGUUAGACCAAAAAAAAUGAAAAAUGAAAUAAAAAUAUUUGGGGUGUUCGGGCUUCCUGAAGGUCAUCCCCGGGUAUUAGGUUUUGGGGUUAGGGUAAGGUUUAAAAUUUUUGGCGUAAGGGUUAAAAUCCCUGUCCAAAACCUUUGUAGGAACUCUUUUCCAACCUUUUGGAGUUAGACCAAAAAGGAAUGAAAAAUGAAAAGAAAAUAUUUUGGGUUUUCGGGCUUCCUGAAGGCAAUACCCAGGUAUUAGGUUAUGGGGCUUUGGAAAGUUUUAGGGUUUUUGGCAUUAGGGUUAAAAUCACUAUACGAAACCUUUGUAGGAACUCUUUUCCAACAGUUCGGAGUUAGUUAGACCAAAAAAAAAAUGAAAAAUGAAAUAAAAAAUAUUUGGGGUGUUCAGGCUUCCUGAAGGUAAUACCCGGGUAUUAGGUUAUGGGGCUUAGGAAAAGGUUUAAGGUUUUUGGCGUUAGGGUUAAAAUCACUGUCCAAAACCUUUGUAGGAACUCUUUUCCAACCUUUUGGAGUCAAUUAGACCAAAAAAAAAAGAAAAUUGAAAAAAAAAUAUAUUUGGGGUUUUCAGGCUUCCUGGAGGUAAUACCCGGGUAUUAGGUUAUGGGGCUAUGGUAAGGUUUAAGGUUUUUGGCGAUAGGGUUAAACUAACUUUCCAAAACCUUUUUAGGAACAUGUUUCAGACCUUUUGGAGUUGGUUACACCAAAAAAAAAUGUAGAAUGAAAAAAAAAUAUUUGGGGUGUUCGGGCUUCCUGAAGGUAAUACCCGGGUAUUAGGUUAUGGGGCUAUGGUAAGGGUUCAGUUUUUUGGCAUUAGGGUUAAAAUUAUUGUCCAAAACCUUUGUAGGAACUCUUUUCCAACCUUUUGGAGUUAGUUAGAACAAAAGAAAAAAGAAAAAUGAAAAAAAAAUAUUUGGGGUUUUCGGGCUUCCUGAAGGCAAUACCCGGGAAUCAGUUUCUGGGGCUUUGGAAAGGUUUAAGGUUUUUGGCGUUAGGGUUAAAAUCACUGUCCAAAACCUUUGUAGGAACUCUUUUCCAAGC